UAGUAAGAGAGUGGUACAUCAGCAAGAAAAGUUUUCUUCCUGAAGAGAAAUGUAAGUAAAUGUUGAGACAAGAGAAGUCAAUGUGACCCAUGCAGAGCUUUCUUUCCCUGACAUACUUGAGAAUCAGAUAUCUCAGAGGUAAUAGUUUAUUUAUGAUUAUAGAACCAAUUUCCUUUGCUUGAAUGUGUCAAUGGGUAUGUGGGUAUCCUUCAGUCAUCUACAUGGGUAUUUUCCCUGUGAGAAAUGAAACCUGUAAGUCCCUAAGUUGUAAUUUUUAAAUAAAUUAGGCUCAGGGAAGCAAAUAUCAUUGAAGAUUUCAGUGCCAUCAGGCUGAGCUUCCCAGUCUUUGAAUUGAAUUUGCCUCUGUAUUUGAUGCAAACAAAUAGGAUCUCUCUGGUGUUUGGCAUAUGUAUAGACAUUUCUCUUUCAGUUAUUAUAACCUUAUUAUCACUAAGAAUCCUUAAAAAAUGCAUAUAAAACAUUUUAAAAUAAAGAGGACAUCUCUGUUGCGUCUAUGUUAGUCUAGAACACUGCUCAGCUCAGGAUCUACAGCCAGGCAUGCUGGGCUACUUCAGGAAUCAUAGAGUCAUGAAUGUCUUUGGUUGGAAGGGACCUUAAAGCUCACUCAGUUCCAACCCCUGCCAUAGGUUGAUUGUCCCCACCAGAUUGGGCUGCCCAGGGCCCCAUCCAAUCUGGCCUUGAACACCUCCAGGGAUGGGGCAUCCACAGUUGCUUUGGGUAACCUGAACUAAAGGUUGAUAUCAUUAGAAAACUUUUGGAAAUGUUAAUAAUAUAGUCCCCAAAGUUGCUUUCAUUUUGCAGCUGAAUCAUUUAUUAUUUACUAGCACAGGCAAGGAUGGCUCAUAACUUUGAUCUUCUUGCUUAUGGGGCACAGCACUUUAAUUUGGGAGCAGCCAUACUGAUUUGGUAAAUAGAUUGAGGAAGAGCUUCAGACGUGGGCUUUAAAAUUCAUGAGGAUCUGAUUUAGUACAUCUUACACCAAUAUUUUUGCAUAUUGACUCUGUGGCUAAAUCACGUCAUAACCUAGAGGACCAGUGAUCACCAUGAUCUAUCAUAGAUAGUACAAGGCAUAAUCAGUGUUGCUAGUCUGCUGAAAUAUCUCUAUAUAUAGUAUUUGUCAGAAGAAUACAUGCAAAGCUACUAAAAGAAACAAAGUCCGUACAUGGACGAUUUACAAACAGGAGAAAGGGCUAAAUUUGCCACUGUUUGCCCUGAAUAGCUUACCCAGAUUACAGGCCAAUUUUGUUUUGGACAGAAAUAUUUUCCAUUGCAGAGUCUGCUAAAGUCAACAGAGUGCUAUUCCUUUGGCUGCAGGAUGGGCUGAAGGCUGGGUUGUAUUUUGGGACUGGCAGCUCUGUCCAUCUCCCUUUAACCCAUUUGACCGCAGUUUGACUGGGACUUGACUAAGCACUUAAUUCUGUGAUUGCCUUGAUUGUGGACUCCUGCUCCUAAACCUAUUGCAAUAUUGUAAAUAUUAGCAAUAAAAAGCUGCCCCUGAUAACAAAAAAUAUUGUAUUAAGUUAACAGACCGGGUAUUAAAAAUGCAGAACCAGCCUAAUGAAAUAACUUGCCUUUGGUUGCAAGAACCUUCAUCAUAAGAAGAUUUAAGACUAAUCUGACUUCAUUCCAAUUAUUUUUCAGGAAUUUGGGGUGCUUUAUUUUUCUUUUCAACAUCAUUAUUCAGUCUUGACAGUUCUUAUUUUGUUAUUUUUUUUGCAUAUUGAGUAAAUGAGAAAUCAGUUCACAACCAUUCUUAAGGAGAAAUGAAAUGCCCAGUAAUCCAAUUUUGAUCAAAAUGCAUCUUUGCUUUUCAGGAACCGACCAGCCUGUGCAGUUAUCUCCACAUGCACAGAGUUGAUAAUAAAGCAAAGUAAAGCUCACAUUCUUUUCCCAGUGAGAGAAAAUCUCACUUGGUGGGAAUAGGGCAUUGUUCAGCUGGAGAACAAUGUGCUGUUCCCCCAGCGUGUGACAAAGCAGAGAAUGACAAGAUGAUUUCUCCCUGUGCUUCUACUUUUGUUUCUCAAAUGUUUACAGGCCCGGAGUAAACCUUUUCUUCACCCUAGCUGGGUGGUUCUCUUUCCUGCAAACCUUUCUUUCUGUCUCUCCUGAUGCCUUGUGUUUGCAGAAGAUAGCGUGCUACUGCAGCGCUUUUCCCAAAAGCAACCUUGAGAAGAAGAGACAGACCCAGCUGUCUUCACAGACCUGUUUUAAAGCUCCUCCGCCUUCCGUUUCAGCAUCCAUUGCCACUUGGUUUUGCAAAAAAAAAAACAAAAACCCACAAAACAACAAACACAGAAGAAACCAAAAUGCAUCACAAAAAUACAAUCCCUUUCCAAAGAGUGUCUGCACAAACAACUUUUGUGUGUCUCACGUGGUGCAUAGAAGUAUUCCCAUAGUCCAUUGGUUUUGGCUUUUUUUUGUGGAAUUGUGCUGGCUUCAGUGAUUCCAGCUUAGUCCCUAACUGGUUUUUAUUCACCUUUGCCCUUUAGAACUUAUACCUAAAGGAGCCACUGCAUUUCUCUUGUGCAACAUCAGCAAAACUGGUGGCUUUGAAAUGCUUUCUAGCAAUCAAGCAAAGCUGCUCCACUUCUAUGAAUGUCCUUCAUCCUUUCUACCACCCAUUUCCUCACCAACUCCUCCUAACUAUUGAACAGUUUUCUCCUGUUCAUUUUUCUCUGCCAUGAGUUCACUUCUCCACAUUUUCAGAGUCCCUGAGUGUGUUUCUGCACCUUCUGAUUUCAAUGGCUGUGUACUGAUGCUUAUUCAGAUGAAUAAGCAGUGGAUAGAGAAAACUAAAUGGUUUGAGGACUCUAUAUGAAGUAUAUGAAUAGUUAUUGGAUGAAGGUGUUGGAUGGGUAUGGAUAAACAUGUAUAUGAACGAAGGUAUUGGAUGAUAGGUAUAUGAAUGGAACCAGAUGCACUGUAUCUGGGCAUUAUCUUCCAUUAGGGUCUCAAAGCACUUUGAUACCCUGCUGAAUUGUUUUUAGAUUCCUCCACCUGGGCUGUGGUGCAACUAGAUUUAUGCUGCUUAAUGGGCUGAUUCCAGGGUGGAGAGUAGACUUUGGAUUUCCAAGCUUCCCAUUAAUUCCUCAGUAUUUUAUCUGCAUUUUAAAGGGCUCUAGCAGCUUAGAAAAAUAAUGGCCACUGUCCAUAAGUUCGAGAGAAGGCAAUGCAAAGGGCAUUUUUCUAGGAUGAGGCAGAGUACUGAACAGCAACAAGUUUUAUCAACUGACAGAGCUAAUUUCCCAGGGAUCUGUCAGUGUAUCAUCACCCAUCUGUUUAAACCGCUUGGGAUUCUGAGCCCACAAGAUUCUGUGAAGAAGGUUGUAACAGAGCAAUGCACUCCUGUGUGCUCCCAAAAAAAGUUGGCCACACACCUGAGUCUGGGUUGUCACAUGAAGCAAGUAUUAGAUGUGAGAAUCCAUUGUUCAGUAGUCAUCUUGACGUUAUAAUUGUUUCCUAAAGAGAAAGAAGGGAAGAUGAGAGAGAUAACAAAUCACUAUGGGAUAUUAUGAAGAGGAUCUCUUCCUAGACCGACAGUAAAUGGCUUCUUUUCCAUGGCACUAGGAAACAGCCAUGUUUAUAACUAAAAAACCCUGACCUUUUCAAACAUAUUCGGUUGCCUUUCCAAGUUACCUUUAUUUUCAUUUACCCAUCACUUGUUACUGUCUUAUUUGUAUCUAUUCUUUUCAAGACAACUUGUGGUUUCUUGACUCUUCGCCCUUUCUGUUUUCCUCACCAUCUAACCUUAGAGCAUUCCUCUUUUUUCUCUCUGAAAAUCUGCCUGCUGGUAUUUUCCAUGAAUCCAUCUGCAUUGAAUUAUUUAUAGUUACAAUAAAGUUUGCUUUUGUCUAAUGUUUAUUUUCUUUAAUAACAAGAAACAUGGGGAAAACGUUCCAAAGAACCGAAAAAGGACUUGACUUUUCCUGGACGCUAGGCAACGGUAGCCAAAAAGCACAAAACAAGCCAUAGGAUGUUCGUAAGAUGAUUUCUAAAAAUAAUAAUACUUAGUACUUUGGUAUCUAAUGCACUUUUUUUGCCUUCAUUAUAUUUCCCAAAUCUGGGCCUCGAUUAUAAUGUUGUCAUGUCACUCUAAAGGCUGCAGUAGGCAAGAAGCUACUGUAGAGGCAACCAGGAGCAAUAAGCAGACGGAUACAUCUGAUAGAGGCCAGACUUCUGCUUCUUCUCCUUGUCCUAAGUGUUUCAUAUAGGUCACGGAACUCUCUUAUGCUAGUCAUUCCUGGCCAGUGGGUUUAUCUUGUGUCUGGUAGAAAUUAGAGCAAACAAUGCAUCGUACCUGAUGAGUCAUUGCUAGUUCUUUCAUACCUUUUGCUGCUUGUUUGAAUUGAGUUUUUAUUAUGAUUUAAAGGUUUUUCCCAUCUUCUUUUCCAGUGGAGGGUUUAUGUUGUUCAUAUGCCUUGUUUUCUCUUCAAUUGUGUGAGUCAUGCAAGCAAUUCCCCUUGAACACUUUUCAGCACCCCCCACCCCUUAUCUCACCUCUCCGUGUUCUCCUCAUUUACUCAGCUCUGUUCUCUUCUGUGUUUCCUGCACUGCCUACAGUGAUUGCACUUCGCGUGGAUGCUCUGGGGGAGGGAAUAUGGAAGGCAAGAAGGCAAAGAAAGGACUUCUAUGGAAUCUGCAUGAGCUGAAACAUGACAAAGGCUGAAGUUAUAAAAUAAGUGACAGGAGGAAUGGAAGAGAGGAGCAAGUUAAAGUUCAGGUCCUGAGUGACAAGAGACACCCUCAGCAUGGAGAUACACAGAGAACCUGGGCAAGGGAAGUCCUCCUGGAUGAAACAUGGAAAGCUCCUGCUGAUGAGCCUGUAGGACCUUACAGCUCCUUGUGUGUCUGCUUGCUAUGGCUGCAUAGGAGUUGCUCACCUGAUUACUAGGGAUGAAGUCAGGAAGGAAUUCUUCCCCUCCGUCUGAUCACAAAGGCUGCUUCUUUCAUCUUCUGUGCUUCGAGGCUUGGUCUCCCUCCUGGAUGUGUUCACAAUCACACUCCCUGCUGUUGUUGGGACCUGAUAAGUUGGCACGGCUCUCGACCUCUCCUCAUCAGUUUACUUUCUAACAUCCUGAAAGCUUCAUCAUGACUGCUCAGUGCACCUCACCCAGGGCUGAGAUUAAAAGUUAAAGAAGAGAACGAGUGAACACAACGGGAGAGAAAACAGAAGAGAUUUUGGCAGCAACCUGGUGACACUCUGAAAGGUCUUUGGGGUAACAGAGAACAGCAAGCAACUUGUGAUCCACAAAGGAAAAUGGCAGCAAAAGCAACAGGAUUGAACUUCUGCAAUUGUGGUGAUGGUAUGCCACCUGGCUGUGGAAUCAUGUGCAAGGCUCCAAAGAAUAAAUGUGACGCCCUUUUGGCAGCUCAGGCUGGAGCUGGAAUCUCCUCUGGUCUCAUCCUGCAGGUUGAACUCUCCCUGAGAAAGUCAGCUUGUCUGUAUGAAAGGAGCAAGACAAACACUCGGACGUGAGUCCCAGCUUUGCAGCUGCAGACCAGGACUGCUUUGUCAGGCAGCAGUUGGAUGAGACUUGAUGGGAGAAUCACCCAAGACAAGAAGUGCAAAGGGGUUUACCACUGCAGAGACAUGGAAGCACCUCAGCUAGGACAGCGCUGUUUUGUUGAAUGAUGCAUGUGCUCCCAGUAACUCAGGUCAGAAAGGAGCUGUCAGAGACCUGCCUCUCUUGAAAAGCAUGUGGAUUUCAUCUACACAAGCAUAACUGCUAUUACUGUCAGUGGUAAUAUUCCCUUCUUGACACGAGCUUCCGGGCACAUUAGUCUAGAUUUAGACCUCAAUUUAUCCCAAGAAGUAGAUGCCAAGAAAAUUUUUCCCGGUAACUACUGAUAUCUGUGGCUUAUGAGAAGUGCGGUGAGUUUUGCUAUUCAGUUUCUACCCAGCGAGGCUUUUCUUUUUCGUCAUGUCUGAGGUAUAUUCUUCUGCACAGCUAUUUCAUGACAUGUGUCAUUCUUCAAAGUCAGAGUCAUUCCCACCAGAGUGUAUGCAAACCAAACCUCUGCCUUUGUUCAGUGAUAAGUGCUUCCAUUAUCCUUCUCUUUCCACUUACUGAUUUGCUUUUGAGACUUGUACACAAGCAAUUUCUUGACUUGAAGGCAAAUCUGUUGCAAUAACGCUGAAUCUGCAGAAUAGACCACCUGGAAAAUAUUUGAUCUUCCGCUGGAAAACAUUUUGCUUUUGCAGGUUGGUAGACUGUCUCAAAUAAUGCCACAAUGUAAAAUGUCUGGGUCAAAUUUUGAGUUGAUGAGGCAGUGCUGUCUGACCAGAAUAUCCUUGGGGUCAGGGAGAUGAUGGUCUCGAGGAUCAGUGCUAUCAUGGAGCAUGCUUUGCCCUGCAGACAAUGAAUAGGUUUCCAUCUUCAUUGUAUCUGCUUUAUAGUUGCUUCAGAAGAAGCACUCUGAGAUUGAUCCUGACCCUCUACUGUUACAUGUAUGUCCACAAGAGCAAUGUUUGAUUUUGAUAAGCAUAUAUAUAUUCUUUUUUCAUAUGGGAAGAAUUUUCCCAGAAUCUCAAAACCAUUGGUAAAGUUGUAACCAAUUCUAACUUUUGCAUUUUUCUUCCCCCCACCCCCACGAUUAAAAAUGCCAACAACACCACCUGGAAAUCCAUCUCAGAUGCCACUCCUUCAAGCAGAGUUUCCCACUUGUAUCGAACCAGGAGUUUUGGACCAUCGUGGGACUACCUGAAAAUAAUGCUGUGGUUCUGAUUCCUCCAGUGUGUCUUCAUAGACCUGAUGUCAGCUUCUUUCUUGUGGAGAUGAAGAAUGUCACCAUGAAUGUCCAUUGGCAAACUGGAUAAGAAAGAGUGUCACACUGCAGGACAACCUAGAAGAUGACAGGUAUUUCCAGGCAUAGCAAUGAUGAGAUCAAAUUCCCCUCAACCUGCCUUGUUUGCUGAUCUUUUAAUCAGAUUCAACUUCACUGCAGCUACAGCACAAGGUUCCCUGACAACGUAUGACAGCAUGUGACAGAAAAAUAUUUUGAUUUUUUUUUUUUUGUUGACCAUUUGAUGCUGUUUCAGAUAUAUCUGAAGCCCUGGCAGCAUCUGCUAAAUCUACUGAACUGUUUUAGUGGAGGUUUUUAAACGUGCAUAAUUGAACUGGAGGGUUUGGAGGUUGUGUUCAUGUGCAUGUAGGGGAAUCCAAACAGGAAAGCUGGGAAAUGAUCUAAACCCUUUGAGGUUAACGUGCCAUGAAAGAGCAUCAACGACCGAAGAGGACAUUAUUAAAAAGCAGCCAACCCAGCUCAAAAAGAACCACUCUGUGAAGCAAGAGCCUGCAGAACAACACCCAGGGCUGUUUGUGAUCCCACUGGGAUAUGUAUUUCAUCCCCUGUCUUCAUAUCCCCAGAUUUCCUCUGAACUGCUUCUGAGACGCGUUCUCGAAAAAGAAAAACACCAGCAACUACUGAAUGCCUCUUAUCAACCUUUUCCCCGCAAUCUGUUUCGUAUUCGUCUCACACCCUUGUUCUCGCAGUGUCUUGGGGAAAUGCUCGGAUCAAAGAUAAGAGAGAACAAGGAAAGGAAUGAAGCAAGAGGCAAACAACAAAACAAAACCACCCCCCCCCCAAACUUCUUGACUAAACUUCUCUGCAAAUCGUGUGCAUGAUUACAGCACUGUUAAAACUGCCUUCUUCUUUGCCAGUACUUAAUUCCUGCUUUUAAAAUCAGGCUUCCUUUGAUCUUGAGGAUUGAAAUGAUCUGGAAAUGAAACAGCCAUUGCUUUGCAGAAAAUCUGGAUAGGGUCCCAGGCAUGGCUUUUACCUGGAAGGAUUCCAAAGUAGGAUGAAAUCUCUCCAGUUUCAGAACAAAUUGCAAGAUUUUUCUCUAUGUCUAGUCCAACUGUGGAACUCCAGCCCUGACGUCUGCUAGUUUCCAAAGCGCAGAUGUAAUAACCUCUAAGGUGAACUGUGAGCCCCAUUCCUCCAUUUUCUUCCCUCUGCCUCUCCUUCAAGGAUCAAAUGUUUGAAGAAUUUUAUUAAAACAAAGGCUUAAAUUUCUGAGCAAACUUAAGUUGAGGAGACAGUUGCUUAUAACCUGGGCUAGGUUCAGCCACAGGGGGGUUGAGCAGGACAGAGGACCAGGAGCAUCUGUAACAUCUGGAUCUUGUUGCACGCAGAGAAAUAUCUGCCUGGCUUUGCACAACCUGAUCCCAGAGCCAAAAGGGCUGAGAAAUGCAGUUAAGAGACACUGUGAAGCCGGCUUUGCCCUACCAAAUAAGUCCCAUUGAGAAAGUAAGCACAUCAAUAUUUCUUUGAGUGUUUUUCUUCUAGUUAAUAUAUUUCCAUAUGUUGCAUGAAUAUUUCUUUUAUUGGGGAUUGCAAGUCCAUCUGGUACUUGUAUUGAGAAGGCUUGAGCUGGCAGAUUCCUACUCUGUGCUCUGUUGCAGAGAUUUGGACUACUCUUACAGGAAUCAUAGGAUCACAGAAUCAUUAAGGUUGGAAAGACCAAUAAGAUCAUCCAGUCCAACCAUCAGCCCAUGCCUGUGAUUGCUCUAGACCACAUCUCCACGUGCCACAUCUCCAUGGUUCUUGUGCACCUCCAGGGACAGUGACUCCACCACCUGCCUGGGCGGCCUGUGCCAAUGCAUCACCAUUCUUUCUGAGAACAUCCAACCUGAGAACAGUUGUUGAUCGGGUAGGGACAACUACUCAUCAGCUAUCUUUUUAGUUAGAACUUUCCAAAGAAAUGCAGGCUAUCAAGUUACUUACUAUCAGUAUGUUCCCAGUGUCAUUUUUUUAUGUUACAAAAUAAGCAAGGGCUUUGUAUCUGAAGGACAGCAGUCAACAAGAAAGAAACCUCUCUCUUUGUAUGCAGUUCUCAGUGCACCAACUCUGACCUACGAAUCAUAAAGAAGAAAGGAUGCCUGAACAUCAAUACUAAGCAGAAAAUGUGCUGAAAUGUCAUAGUUUGCCAAGACAAUGAGAAUCACUUUCCCUUGUAUGUAUUAUUACAGAACAGAGGAAUAAUUAUCUGCUUUCAUACAAGCUUUUUCCUUCUGCAUGAUUAACUUCACUGAUAUCAAUAGAGAGUGUGAUGACUCUGAAAUGACAGCUCCUGGUAGCACGUUCUGGGAUUAGCACGAACAGGUUGUCACUGUACCCCGGUUAGGAACGGUCAGUCUUGUGCUGAGUGCAGGACAGAAAAGCCAGGCUGGACACCAGACAUCUGCCAGCACUAUGUCUGUCUUCAUACUGGGUGGCUCUCAGAUUGGCAUAUAGGGCUGGCUACUUCAAUGGGGCACAAAGGCCUUCAUGCAGACCCACAUGAUGGUGGUUGAGAAGUUUCCAGAUCCAAAUCAUCUGGUCAUCCUUGUGCUAAGGGAUGACUUGCAGCCUAAAAUCUGCAUACUUCAGCUCAUGGAAUGGUUGGAUAGAGAGGAAGGUCGAAGAUGCAAGAGAGCAAGUUGAGGUACUGGUAUGAAACAACCAAACUAUCUGUUCACUAAAGUUGUAAAAAAAACUGUCAUAGGUCUUCUUUGGAAAUUAAUCAAUAUGUGGAAAACUGGAUAACAACUAUAGGGACAACAGGAAUGUGCCUAUAAAUUAAAAGAAGCUAUUGUGAGCAUGCAGAGCUAUCUGGGAAAGGCACUGGGGCAGGGUAGCAGUGCUCAGUGGAGCUAGGACAGGGCCCACAUAAAGGGAUUCUUCAGCAAAGUCCAUACUUUGUCAAUGUCAAGAUACAUGGGAACUGUAAAACAAAGCAAACUGUGUGCAUGGAAUGAAAAUAGAAAUUUAGUCCAGCAUCGUGUGCCUUUGAAAACGUCAUAAUCCUUUUUAAAAGGAUGACAAAAAAGCUGUGUAUUUUUUAAGAAAUAUAGCAGGUGAAAGGAUUCAUUCUCAAAAAUCCAUGAAGUGUAAGUGAUGAAAUAUUGAGGACCGGGGGGGAGGGUGUUUUUGUAAUUCUGUAGGCAUCUCAGUCCUCUGGUGAAAUGAUGUAUGGGGCAAUCGUCUGGUAGGGGCUGAUGGGAUGUAAAUGAAACUAAUUAAGGAAAUGUCAAACAUAAUUAAUAAAACAGGUUUAAGUUGCAAAAGCACUGUCAGCUGAAUGAAUGGGGAAGAGUGUGGCAUUCCCAUUGUUGUGGGGCUUGCUUACUUAUUUAUAUAUUUAUUUAUUUAUUCCUUGCUCACCCCCUUGGCCUCCCACCAGUUCUGCAGUUGCAUCAUUCAAUUAGAUCUCAGAAAGCUCUUGCUAGACGCUUGCAUUUCCUCCUUGCCCCCCUUCUGAGCUGGGGUCCCAAAGAAUAGGAGGAAUAUAAAUUUGCCCUGUCGGUUUGCAGCCUGGGAAGAAGAAGAAAAAAAUUAAUUGCUAACUCCUCAUCUUCCCUAAGUACUACAGGACAUUAACAUAACCAAUUUGCUUGAACUCCUCACUGGCUGCUUAAUAGAGCAUCUGACCAGCUGAUAAGACCUGGGUGCUGCUGCCUAUGAUACCUUGUUAUUAGCAUUUUCAUAAUAUUCAGAUAUUACAGCCCCAUGAUUCACUAGCCUCCAUUCAUUAUUGAUAAGUACAAAAAAUAAAUAAAAAGGGUUUAUAAAUUGCAAAAGGGGGUGAGCGACCUAUAAUUAUGGCAAGCAAAUUAGGGUGCAUGGUAGAGUCAGUUACAUUUGCCUAGGAGUAAUGAUGCUCAAGAACUUUUUCUCCCCAGGGACAAGAAAAAUAAUGGAUUCCCUGGCAGCUGCAGAUGGGCUAGGAAAGGCUGUCAUCCAGGACACCGUUUAUAUAAGUUAGGCUGAGCAUAUGGCUCUGCGUCCUGCCUGUAGCCAUCUCCAGAUAAUGCUAUUUCAAUGACAUUAAAUAAAUACAUAAAUAAAAAUAACUGGACAGUGCUGCUGGUGGUGAAGGGAUACGAGGAGGAGAAAAAGCAGGUUCAGAGAGUCCACAGCAAAGUUUCUACUGAGAGCAUUCCCAGCAGUUCAGCAAUCCCAUAAAAGCAGAGUCUGCCCAGCUGAGUCACUGCAGAGAAAAAGAUGAAAUGCUAUUUCUGCUAAAACAAAACCUUUUCCAUGUUCCAGUCUAAGACAGAUGUAUUUAUACACCAAAGCUUUGAGCCUGAGAUGAUAGAAAACAUGGUUGCAAGUAGGAGCUACUAGAAAUAACCACUGGAUACUUUAUAAUUUAGUCCCUGUGGUUUUAUUUCCAUUAAUCCAAUCAAAGGCCUUUUUUCUUUACUAAUGAAACUGGAAUGAAGCACAAAAGGGAGGCUGACCUGUUAGCAGGUGACUGUUUCUUAUAAGUUAUUCAUUAAAAACACCCCAACGCUCUAGUGCUGAAGGAGACCGUACCUAUUUCUGUAUAAAUUAAACAUAAGUGACUCGGUUGCAAGAAAAAAAGUUAUUUCUCUUGGCUUCAAAACAUGGUACAGCACUUGGAGGAAACUGCACCCUUUCAGACGUUUGCAGAGAGUUAGGGACUAAAGUUACAUUCCAGCUGCUCCUACUAUUUUCUAUUCCAACCAGUUCUAAAUAUCUACUGCAGGCAUGGAUAUUACCAGUGUUUUGAAGAUAGCAUGCUCUAGGUAAGUUAGGAAUGAGCCUCAGUUUGGCCUUUCUUGUUAGUGUGUGAGGAGACUCAGGAAUAGAAGGGAAGAACUUUGCCAGAAAAAGUGCAGGUGGAAAGGCUUCUCCCUUUUAUUUUACUUUUUUUUUUCCUUUAUUAAAUUCAAUUACAUCAUUACUGAAAUUGCUUUUGGCAUUGUACUGUUGAUCUGCAUCAUUCAGUCCUUCUCUUGGGAACCCUGAAGAAUGUCCCAUUGGUAAUACCCACUAUCUGCAAAUGCUAACCUGCCUACAAAACUCUACUGUUCAUUUUUGACUUUCCAUGGAUGUUCUCAGCAUUUUUAUGGGCCAGAAUUACUAGCAAGUAUCGCCCGUGAACAACAUUCUUAUCAGAAUAUAAAUUUCUUGAGAACUUUCCUGUAUCUUAUCCAAAAGGAAAAAAUAAGAUAAUUUAUCAGAGCAAUCUGCCGGUUUGCUGAUCUGCAUUCCUCAACAGCCUAUCCUUAGAGCCUGGUUCAUUUUGAUUUAUCCAAGAAAAGACCCAAACCCAAGCUUAUUCAUUCUUACACUUUAAACUCUGGUACAGUUUACAAAGUGGACAGAAGCUCAGCAAUGAACCUUGCUUCUGCAGCAAGCAGAAAGAGAAACUUUCUCCACCAAACAUCCCCAAUCCUGUACAAGCUCAGGCCUGGGCUUGAGCCAUCCAUCUUCAACACAAGCAUCCAUCUUACAAAGGGAUCCUCAGGCAACCUGUAGAUGGUUGGUUUUCCUUGAAUCGCAUGUUAACAUCAUGGAAAAGAAAUGCAAACCCAAAGUGACACAGAUUUGCAUUCUCUUCCUUUGUGUUUAAGCAUAGCUUGUUGCUUUAGUGCUGCUGCAUUUUGGCCAAUAUAAGCAGCAAAGUACUUAUCUGGAAUAUAUAUCUUUUCUCCAAGCCCGCAAAGUUUUAGGGUUUUUUUUUUUUUUGGAGGCGAAAUAUCAUUCUUAAGAAUAAAUACAGUGUUUCCAUGCAUCUUGAUCUAAUCCAUUAGUCCUUAUAAUUUAUUGUUAACUGCUUCAAUGUAGGAACCGUGGCAGCUCUGAGUAAAGCAUUUAAGCAGGCAUCUGCUUUAUAUAAAUUAUAGGAAACUUGGUCACACAAGUUUUCAGAAAGAGAUAAAGGUCUCUUACCAACAUCUGUGGCUUUUGGGAUAGCAUUUUUUUUUUUCAACAUAAGAGGCUUUGGAGCUUGGAAACAGAGCAAAUCUAUGAGCUACCUGCAGCCUUGUUAUUUACAUUUGUAUUUGGUAUUGUGCUAAUGGCUCCAAGGAAAGAGGAAUGAGAUUGACAUGGGGGUUGGAAGCUGGAAAACACUUUAUUAGUCUCAAAUCAGCUCCUUGGAGGCUAAAGCCCUGAUUAACUAUAACUGGAGUGGAUUGUCUUAAUCUGACUGCUGUAGUAUUUUAUGUCUAGUCAUUCAGGCUUAUUUCUGUAAAUACUUAGAUAAGCUUGAAUCAAUUACUUCAGCGUCUCCUUUUGUCUCCUACCAUCAGAAAUGGCGUGGUAUCAUGAUCUAAGCAGGGAGAGGGGCAGGAUCAAAGAAAUGAUACCUUGUUGCACACUGACCAAGGAAGACAUAUGCCAGCAUGGGACAUGGUUUCUUAUACAUAAAAGGAGAUGCUUCACGGUCUUUAAUCAGGAGGGGCUGCAAAAUCAGAGUUAUUUUGAAUAUUAGACUAUUCCAAAGGACAGGAAGGAGGUUUUCUCCCCUCCUUCUAUCACCAUUUCUGGCUUUUGACAGACUGUGAGUUGUCUGAGAGGACAGCAGGAUCUUGCUGAUGAUACGUAGUUGGCCAAAGGUCUGAUGUGCAGAUGCUUUUAUUGCCUCUUUGCUUGUGCUGCUCAGAUUAAUUUGGCUCAUUCCUGAAGCUCUAUGCACUGCACAUUCCCUGACUGAAACCAAAAAAUAGACCAGCAAAGCAAACUAAUUGAAACAUGGUACUCUGCAUCUCACUUCAGCACCAUCGCUCCACUCUAGAGCUGCACAGUUCAAAGUUAAUAGACUGCAGUGUCAGGGAUGCCACUCACCAGGGUGAAAUGCAGAGCAAUGGUGGGUAAGUCUGGUGAGUGGUUUUUGUCUUCCAAAGUAGCUUGGAGACACGACUUCACUCUCUUUAGUACCUCUGGAUGCACAAAGGCAUAGCAGUGAAGGUGAUGGGAUCGUAUCAAACCUACCCAAGUGCGGAGCUUUGGUUUAAUUUUUUUUAUAUCAGUGCCUGGUCUCAGCUCUAAUUAACCUACUCCCCUAUCAGUCCAUUCCCUCCCCACAUGCCGUCUUUUCCCCUUCCUCUCUGUGAUCUCCAUUUCACUGCAGAGGUGGCCUGGCAAAGAGAUAUUAUUCUAUUUAGAAGCUGAGCACCUCACUAGGGGUGACAGGCCUGUUUUUAGGUCAUUUAUCUAAUUGCUCUUUGCAGAUAAGAAUUAAUUAGCCCGAUUAUUUUUCUUAGUUUUUGGAUGGGUUCCCCACCUGGAGAGAAGAAAUUCCUCCAUGUCAGUGAUUAAUUGCUGAGCCAGAAGCUUACUGCCUUGCAUUUGUAAUAAAUGCCGACUGGUUCUUUAGGUCACAUUAGGAACCAGGCAGAUUGUGGUUAAAAUGCACAGGAUAAUAAAGCAUUUGUACAAACAAGAUCACUGCCAUUAGAUUUUGAUUAAAUAUUUUAAUUUAUCUGGAGGUUGAAGGACCGCGGGAAUCAAAAGGUUUAAGGAUUCUUUUUUCC